GCAGCGAGGUGGCGUCCCGGCGGGCAGCGCGGGGGGGGAGCGGGCGGCGCCGCUCCGCCGGUGCGCCCAGGGCAGGACCCCCCCGCCCCCGCCCGGUGCGGCGCCCCCAGCCCCGCAUACCCGCGGCACCUGUUGCUGCCCCCAGCCUCCCCCCCCCGCCCCCCCCCCUCGGCCGCGGCAUGCGGAGCGCCCGGCCGGCCCGCGGGCUGCCGUGAUGGGCGGCGGCGGUGGCCGUGGCGGUGGCGGUGGCGGUGGCUCUGCCCGCGGCCGGCAGCCCCCGGCCGGCGCCCCCGGCAGCGCGUGGCGCCCAUGCUGCGCUCCGCCGCGCCGCCCCGCGCCCCCCCGCCGCCGCGGCGAUGCCGCUCGCGGGCGAGGAGCGGAGCCUGCAGGGGGUCUACAAGCCGGCGGGGCCGGCGGAGGGCAGGGCGGCCGGCGGGGCCGGGGGCUACACCAACCGCUCCUUCCUCGACGACGAUGGCAGCACCCACAGGCUCUCGUCGCCCGGCGGCUGCGGCGACGGGGACGGCGGUGGGAGCUGCAAGAGCGGGGUCAUUCUGGACAUCGCCGCCCUGAAGAUGACGGAGCUGGAGUCCGAGGUGCUGCCUCUGCCGCCCCGGUACCGCUUCCGCGAUCUGCUGCUGGGGGACCAGACCUUCCAGAGCGACGACAGGGUGCAGGUCGAGUUCUACGUGAAUGAAAACACUUUUAAGGAGCGGCUGAAACUCUUCUUCAUCAAAAACCAGCGAUCGAGCCUGAGGAUCCGGCUCUUCAACUUCUCACUGAAGCUGCUCACAUGCCUGCUGUACAUCGUCCGCGUCCUGCUUGACAACCCGGAGGAGGGCAUAGGCUGCUGGGAAUGCGAAAAGCAGAAUUACACAGCGUUCAACCAGUCCACAAAUAUCAACUGGUCACACAUCUUCUGGGUGGAUAGAAAAAUGCCACUGUGGGCUGUGCAGGUCAGCAUAGCUUUAAUCAGCUUUCUGGAGACCAUGCUGCUCAUCUAUCUCAGCUACAAGGGGAACAUCUGGGAACAGAUUUUUCGCAUUUCAUUCAUCCUUGAGAUGAUCAACACGGUGCCAUUUAUUAUCACAAUCUUCUGGCCUCCUUUGCGGAAUUUGUUCAUUCCUGUGUUUCUGAACUGCUGGCUUGCCAAAUACGCCCUGGAGAACAUGAUCAAUGACCUGCACCGCGCCAUACAAAGGACCCAGUCUGCAAUGUUUAACCAGGUGCUCAUUUUGAUCUGCACCCUCCUGUGUCUCGUUUUCACGGGGACCUGCGGCAUCCAGCAUUUAGAAAGAGCAGGUGAGAAACUCUCCCUCUUCAAGUCCUUCUAUUUCUGCAUCGUCACCUUUUCCACCGUGGGCUAUGGAGAUGUGACACCAAAGAUCUGGCCUUCCCAGCUCCUCGUUGUGAUCAUGAUUUGCGUUGCCCUGGUGGUGCUGCCGCUCCAGUUUGAGGAGCUUGUCUACCUGUGGAUGGAGCGGCAGAAGUCGGGAGGCAAUUACAGCCGUCACCGUGCCCAGACAGAGAAACACGUUGUCCUUUGCGUCAGCUCCCUCAAGAUUGAUCUCCUCAUGGACUUCCUCAACGAAUUUUACGCCCACCCGCGCUUGCAGGAUUACUACGUGGUGAUACUUUGCCCAACAGAGAUGGAUAUCCAGGUGCGGAGGGUUCUGCAGAUCCCUCUGUGGUCGCAGCGAGUGAUCUACCUCCAGGGCUCUGCACUGAAGGACCAGGACCUCAUGAGAGCCAAGAUGGACAAUGGCGAAGCCUGCUUCAUUCUCAGCAGCCGAAAUGAGGUGGAUCGCACCGCGGCGGACCACCAGACCAUCCUGAGAGCCUGGGCUGUGAAAGAUUUUGCUCCAAACUGUCCUCUUUACGUUCAGAUCUUAAAGCCUGAAAACAAGUUUCACGUCAAGUUUGCUGAUCACGUCGUCUGCGAAGAGGAGUGCAAGUACGCCAUGCUGGCACUGAACUGCGUCUGCCCUGCCACCUCCACCCUCAUCACACUGCUGGUGCACACAUCCCGUGGCCAGGAAGGCCAGGAGUCCCCGGAGCAGUGGCAGCGGAUGUAUGGGCGCUGCUCGGGCAACGAGGUCUACCACAUCCGGAUGGGCGACAGCAAGUUCUUCAUGGAGUACGAGGGGAAGAGCUUCACCUAUGCUGCCUUCCAUGCGCACAAGAAGUACGGCGUCUGCCUGAUCGGCAUCCGCAGGGAGGAGAACAAGAGCAUCCUGCUGAAUCCCGGCCCGCGGCACAUCAUGGCAGCGUCCGACACCUGCUUCUACAUCAACAUCACCAAGGAGGAGAACUCUGCCUUCAUUUUCAAGCAGGAGGAGAAGCAGAAGAAGAAGGGCUUUGCGCGGAGAGGCACCUAUGAUGGUCCAUCCCGCCUGCCGGUGCACAGCAUCAUCGCCAGCAUGGGUACAGUAGCCAUGGACCUGCAAAACACAGAGUGCCGCCCCGCUAACAGCAGCAAGCUGGCUCUGCCGGCCGAGAACGGCUCGGGCAACCGCCGGCCCAGCAUCGCGCCCGUCCUUGAGCUGGCUGACACCUCGUCCCUGCUGCCCUGCGACCUGCUCAGCGACCAGUCGGAAGAUGAGAUGACACAGUCAGACGAGGAAGGGUCAGCAGUUGUGGAGUACGUCAAAGGCUACCCACCCAACUCCCCCUACAUUGGGAGCUCCCCGACUCUGUGCCACCUUUUACCCGAGAAAGCCCCGUUCUGCUGCCUGAGGCUGGACAAGGGCUGCAAGCACAACAGCUUUGAAGAUGCCAAAGCCUACGGGUUUAAGAACAAACUGAUUAUCGUUUCGGCAGAGACAGCUGGGAACGGGCUGUAUAACUUCAUUGUCCCCCUUCGUGCAUACUAUCGGUCCCGCAAGGAGUUGAACCCCAUCGUGUUGCUGCUGGACAACAAGCCUGAGCACCACUUUCUGGAAGCCAUCUGUUGUUUCCCUAUGGUUUACUACAUGGAGGGCACGAUCGACAACCUGGACAGCUUGCUGCAGUGUGGCAUCAUCUAUGCUGACAACCUGGUGGUUGUGGACAAGGAGAGCACGAUGAGUGCCGAGGAGGACUACAUGGCAGAUGCAAAGACGAUUGUCAACGUCCAGACCAUGUUCAGGCUCUUCCCCAGCCUCAGCAUUAUCACAGAGCUGACCCACCCCUCCAACAUGAGGUUCAUGCAAUUCAGAGCAAAGGACAGUUACUCUCUUGCCCUUUCCAAGCUAGAAAAGAAAGAGCGAGAGAACGGCUCCAACCUGGCCUUCAUGUUCCGGCUGCCCUUCGCGGCUGGCAGGGUCUUCAGCAUCAGCAUGUUGGACACGCUGCUCUAUCAGUCAUUCGUGAAGGACUACAUGAUUACCAUCACUCGGUUGCUGCUGGGCCUCGACACCACGCCGGGCUCCGGCUACCUCUGUGCGAUGAAGAUCACUGAAGAUGACCUGUGGAUCCGGACAUACGGUCGCCUUUUCCAGAAGCUCUGCUCCUCCAGUGCGGAGAUUCCCAUCGGGAUUUACAGGACAGAGUCACACAUGUUUGCAACCUCUGAGCCCCAUGACAUCAGAGCACAGUCACAGAUCUCAAUCAAUGUUGAGGACUGCGAGGACACAAAGGACGUCAAGGAGCACUGGGGCAUCAAGACCAGCCACCAUAGGAACUCCUGCUCCAGUGACCAGUCCGAGCACCCGCUGCUGCGGCGCAAGAGCAUGCAGUGGGCACGCCGGCUGAGCAGGAAGGGCAACAAGCACUCCAGCAAGACGGCUGAGUGGAUCAGCCAGCAGCGCCUCAGCCUGUACCGGCGCUCCGAGAGGCAGGAGCUUUCCGAGCUCGUUAAAAACCGUAUGAAGCACCUGGGCUUGCCCACCACUGGGUAUGAGGAUGUAGCAAAUUUAACAGCCAGUGAUGUGAUGAAUCGGGUAAACCUGGGAUAUUUGCAAGGUAAUUCCCUUUCCCUGAGAGUCCCGUGUGCAGCAUACAACAAGAUCAUGCCAGCUAAGCCCAAAUCACACCCUUGCCGGUUUUCACCUUAGAUACCCCAGCCUUUCAAGCACUAAUUUGUUGGGUGGCAUUGGAAAACAAAAGACCGUCCUGCAACAGCGGUACAAACGUAGGGCUCUGCAAAGUCAUGGAGAGAAAAACCUCAGGGACCCUUCUGUAGUUGAAUCCUUACAGGGAAAUCACAGCCCUCAGCUGUCAUUAAAAGAAACCCUCCCUCCACUGCUCUGCAAGUUCGUUUUGGUCUGUAAAGCCUGUGGCAAUCUGAGGAGAGGAUUUGCGGGGGGACGAGCGCAGCGGAGCUGCUGGUGUGUGCUGCGAUGAGAUGCUGGAGCUGCUGCGCCAGCCUCUUCACCUCUCGGGCACACAGGGGUCAGCCGCAGCUCGGGGCAAGGCAGCACUCGGAAAGCCCUUCGUAAUCCCUGGCUCGUGGUCCUGGACAACUCCCUAGGGGUAGCAGACCCUUAAGCGUAGCAGACCCUGUUUCUAACUGGGGUAGAGCGAGGUUGCUGGUGCUGCCCAUCCUGCAGACACCCCGGGGCACCUUGCUGGCACCUGCAGGGUUAUUGCAGCACUUACACCUUUACACAGUGGUGUAAAGUGCCCUGGAAAGGCCCCUUUUUACCACAGCAGCCUAGAGGUUAGCAGUAGCCCGACCUAGCUGUAUUGAAGGCUUCACUAGCCCAUGCUUAAGGUGAAAAGUUGGCAUUUUCCUAUAAACUCUGUCCUUCAUCAGAGAAGCAGCCCCAGCUGGGGCUCAUGGAAGCCCCAUGCCAGCAGAGUAUAUUGCCAGCUGGCCGGUGGGUGCUGGGCAGAGCUCAGACCCCUGCUGGUAUCUCCCUCUCCCACAGAAGAGCUGGGGCUGAGUUUAGCCACCUGCUAAAUCAGGAGACCCUGGGGGUGAACGUCCAAGGUGGUGGCAUCACUGCUGGGGGCUGCGUGGGUUGGGGAGCUGGAUCUCAGUGUUGGUUUCCCCCCUCCAAAAAAAAAAAAGAUGUAAAUUUUUGGUUUGCUGGUGGGUGCUGCUGGGCUGAGCCGUGCCGCAGGGGACGAUAUGGCAAUAUACUUGGUGGGUUUAGCAGUGCCUGGCUCGGCUGCAUGGGGGGUCAGGAAAAGGUGCUUCCAUGGAGCAGGGAAACCUGCCGUGAGCCAGGGCCCCUCCCCGCCUCCCCCGUCAUGUCAACCCCCUCCCCGUGUCUCCCGCCAGGUCCCAGGGUCCGUGUGCCACCCGUGCCCCAGCAUUGCCACUCCCUGUCCCCGCCUCGCUGUAAGGCUGAGCACUGGGAUGGCCAAAGCUCUCCGGCCAGCACCUGGGGCUGGGCACCCCGGCACAGGUCGGGGGGUCCCACAGAGCAUCGCCCAGCUGCAGCACCCUCUGUGGCCUCAGCAGUGCCAGGGAGGUGUCUGAACAGCAGAACAAGGGUCUUGUGUCCCCCUGCAAGCGCUGCUGUAGUGUGGUACCGGUGCAGUCCAGCCAUGGGGAUGCCCUGGGGCCCAUCUGGAUGCACACUGGCCAAAUGCAUGGUGAAGGCAGCCCUGGGUGGGGGGCGGGGAACCUGUUUGAAUCCCUGUGAAGGAUGCCAGGCCAGGUGGCUGCAGUGGCUUGAGCUGCUGUGGCUCAUGUCACAGCUGGAGAAAAGCCCCACUUCAGAGCUUUCCACCUCAGUCCUGAGGCUGAAGAGCAGCGGUACUCCUCGCCCGCAGGCUGCCUUGACCACCCUCCCCUGCCUGGGGUGAUCGCACACCCAUGGGUGUCGUUACAGCAGGACACAGCCUGUGUCCCAUCGUAUGGCAGGGCAGCCUGUGACCAGGGGAUCCCCCCACCCCGGGCAGGGGAGGGCAGGGGUGUGGUGGUGGGAGCAGCAGGAAGAGCUGCAGGGAGCAGCCCCCAGCCUGGAGCUAACGCCUGUCCCGGUGGCUGGUCCCUGGUCCUGCUGCCCACCAAACCAAGCUCCCUUUGUGUGAGAUCGGCAAACAUUGGUGUGCACCUGGGCCUUUCCCAGUCAUCCCAGUGACAAGCCUUGCAGCGAGCUGCUGUCCUGCUAUGCUCCUCAUGCUGCCCCGGCGUCCGUCUGUCCGCCCCUUGCCAUCCUGUCCAUCCGCACCCGGUCGCUCAGUCUGUAAAUGGUGUUAUUUGUCACAGCUUUCGCCCCCUCCCCGGCCGCCCGCAGCCUCGCGCCCCCAUUCAUUUCACCCAUGAUCUUGUUCUCGGCUAUUUCGGAAAGCGCAGGGCUCCCCCCCGGGCCUUGAGGCUGCCCGUUCGCCCUGCGCAGCACCCAUGGGUGCAUCUCUCGGUGGCCCAGAGCCCUCCCAGGAGGUCACCGUAGUUCAGAGCUGUCCCCGAAUGGCAUCGAGGGCUCUGAAACGCCAUGGAGGUGGUGUUUCCCUUGGGCAGGAGAAAGAAGCAAUCGUUGAACUAAAUCCUGUUGCUGGAUGACGCUAAAUUAAGUAACUCAAGAUGGGGAGAAGUGGGCAGAGCGUUCGAGCGGCCUGGGGGGGUUUGGCUGCCCUGACCCGGUGGUUGGAGUCGUUGUGCUAUACCUAACACAGCAAGACUAACCUGUUCCCUUUUUUGCACUAAACCAAGACGAGAUGAAUGACCACCAGAACACCUUGUCCUACGUCCUGAUCAAUCCCCCUCCGGACACGCGGCUGGAGCUCAACGAUAUCGUGUACCUGAUCCGCUCCGACCCGCUGGCCCAUGUGGCCAACGAU